rnacentral:lncRNA from 1 species
GUCUGUCUCUAUCUGUCUGUGUGUGUUUGUGUACAUUUGUUGCUUCUUAGUGUGUCCAGAGGAUUUUACCCAGGGUCUUGUAUUCUGUGCAGGGACUCUAAGCAACAUCCCAGGCAAAAUCAUAUCCCUUACCUUACUGUUUUGUUUGUUUGUUUGCUUGCUUGCUUUUUGUUUUUAAGAUAGUGUCUCUCCAUAUAACUCAGGCUGGCCUUAAAAUUGACAUGGAGCCCUGGCUUGUCUGAACUCCAGAUCCUCUUGCCUAAACCUGAAUACUAUAAUUACAGGUCUGAGCCACCACACUUAGCUAGGAUUCCAGCGUUAUUGGCCCCAUGAUGCUGGGUUUCGUUCAGGUAGGACCACAGGGGAAGUGUUGGCUCUGGCUAGGCCCUGUAUCCAUGCACACAGGAGGGCCUGGAGGCACGAAGUUGUCUGUUGGGUUAGGUGGCAUGUUGACCUCACUGAGUCACUGGCGUGUUGAUAAGUCAGUGCCUUGACUCAGCCUGUCCACAUGUAAAUAAGGACACUGGCUGUUUAUCUUUCCUUAGGGCAGGUACAGCCUAAAACAGCCCCUCCCAAGUUGAAGAGUUGGUGGGUGGGAGUGUUCUUCAUUUCUGUGUAGUAUAAUGGGUGUACACACCCACCCUGCUCCUGGGAACUGUGGAAAUAACAGGAAAAACCAGGAAACAGCCUGGCAGGGGACCAGGCACCCUCAAAGGGAGUAGAGGAAGAGGGCUGGGGAAAAGUGGCUUCCCAGAGAGAUUUCCUGACAUGGAUCUUCUCCAAGAGCAGUGUGUCUGUGAACUGGAGAAACAUGAGCCAAGUGAUGUCUCAUAUGGGGCUGAGCGUGGAGCUGUGCACAGAAGCCACUCUAAAGGUUCCACCACUUAGAGGACACAACAGUGAGGCAUGGAGCCACCCUUGGUGCUUCUCCUGGGAGUCACUGAGCUGGAACCACCACCCAAAGGACACCUGCUCUGUUGGCCAUUUAUGGGAACCGGGCUCCAGGAUGGUCCCACAUUGGUAGGAAUGCCCAUCUCUACUAACUAGUGUUAAUGAGUGAGGGCCACUGAGAGAGACACUUGUCAGGAAUAAGGCACUGUUCACUGAGUAGAACGGCAUGUGGCCCAAGACAGUUCUCAUGCCAGGUGAAGAGUAAUCCAGCCUGAGGUGGUGGAACACCUACUUCUCAUCUCCUCACCUGGCUUUCCAGGUUGCCCCACACACCAGGUCUCUGUGACCUGAUAAUGACCUCUCACCUCUGUAUUUGUGCCCAACACCCUUGCCUUUGCCCCCUGCUGCCUCAAGCCAUAGCACCAGCCCUCACCCCACCCUUGUAUCUGUAGACAUGCUC